rnacentral:snRNA from 1 species
AGCUUUGUGCAGUGACAGUAUUGUAGCCAAUGAGGUUUAUCCGAGGCACGAUUAUUACUAAUUGAAAACUUUUCCCGAUACCCGACCAUGACGACUUGAAAUAUAGUCGGCGUUGGCAAUUUUUGGCAGUUUCUACAGAGA